rnacentral:lncRNA from 7 species
GUGGCGCAUGGGGACGAGUAGCAGCAAUGGCGCUGCUUGCCUUCGACUUUCCUCGCGUCAUCUCGUGCUUCCCAAUCCCUAUAGAUAGAACUGGAUUGAUCCCCAUGGACCCAUGGUUCUCUCAGACGCCACUGCGCCUGUUCGACGACGCGAAGCCAGAAGGCCUCGUGGUCGGGGAGGCUGACGCAGAGAGGGACGAUGGGAACGGGGGUACCCGCCUACAACGGCGCUCGGGGCAUAAUAGUUGGUCAGGCGUGAUCAUAGGGGCGCACUAGAGGCGCGUGCAUCGGUCCGUGGGGCCGAAGACGGUCGGUGCGGCGGCGAUUGCUCGCCGGGAUCCGCAAGAACCGCCGUCCGAUCAUCCUGCGUUGUCAGCACUCUUCCCAUCAGCGCCUUCGCGGGAGGUCACGAGGAUCUGAAGAAUCACCCUGGUACCUGGAAUUUCAAGUGCCAGGUGGUUCAAGUGGAGCUACGUAACGAGGAGUUCGAUUCGAUCUAGGUGGCGUCUCCCAGUUGACUUGCGCCAAGGACGAUCCUUAGUUCGUUUUAUAUUUAUAAUUUAUUUUGUAAGUCUCCCGCUAUGUAAUAAGUACUCUGAUUAUAUUGUGACAUUUAUCUCUAUACACUCUGUUAUU